rnacentral:rRNA from 1 species
GGGGGAAACCCUGAUCCAGCCAUGCCGCGUGAGUGAAGAAGGCCUUCGGGUUGUAAAGCUCUUUCAGCCGGAACGAAAAGGUUACGGUUAAUACCCGUGACUAAUGACGGUACCGGAAGAAGAAGCACCGGCUAACUACGUGCCAGCAGCCGCGGUAAUACGUAGGGUGCGAGCGUUAAUCGGAAUUACUGGGCGUAAAGCGUGCGCAGGCGGUUUUGUAAGUNAGAUGUGAAAUCCCCGGGCUCAACCUGGGAACUGCGUUUGAAACUNCAAGGCUAGAGUGUGGCAGAGGGGGGUGGAAUUCCACGUGUAGCAGUGAAAUGCGUAGAGAUGUGGAGGAACACCGAUGGCGAAGGCAGCCCCCUGGGUUAACACUGACGCUCAUGCACGAAAGCGUGGGGAGCAAACAGGAUUAGAUACCCUGGUAGUCCACGCCCUAAACGAUGUCAACUAGUUGUCGGGUCUUAACGGACUUGGUAACGUAGCUAACGCGUGAAGUUGACCGCCUGGGGAGUACGG